UACGAAGGGGGCUAGCGUUGCUCGGAAUGACUGGGCGUAAAGGGCGCGUAGGCGGAUGGCACAGUCAGAUGUGGAAUUCCCGGGCUCAACCUGGGGGCUGCAUUUGAUACGUGUUGUCUAGAGUGAGGAAGAGGGUUGUGGAAUUCCCAGUGUAGAGGUGAAAUUCGUAGAUAUUGGGAAGAACACCGGUGGCGAAGGCGGCAACCUGGUCCUUGACUGACGCUGAGGCGCGAAAGCGUGGGGAGCAAACAGG
rnacentral:rRNA from 1 species